rnacentral:rRNA from 1 species
AUGUACAACACGUAUGCCGGCAAGAUUGGGUUUAGUAUCAGAAAGAGCCAAACAAAGCGCCGCCAAGAUCGAACUAUAUACCAGAAAUAUGUAGUUUGCAGUAAUCAAGGAGAACGAGAAACCGAAUCAUCAAAGGCCACUACAAGAAUAGGUUGUCAGGCUCGUGUUCAAUUUAGUGUCAGUAGAGAGGGGAUUUGGACAGUGCAAAAGGUUGUAACAGAUCACAAUCAUUAUCUUGCUAGUCCCAAUAAGUCACACAAGUUGAGGUCCCAACGACGUGUUGUAGAAGCUGACAGAGCGCUAAUUGGCCAGAUACGUGAAGUUGGGAUGAAGCCAUCUCAGGUGUAUGAUUUCAUGGUAGCGUUUUAUGGAGGAGUCGACAAAGUGCCAUUCUCAAAAAUGGAUUGCAAUAAUGAGAUUGGUAAGGAAAGGAAGAAGUAUUUAGAAUCCAAUGAUGCAAAAACAUUGUUAGAAUACUUGAGGAAUAAGCAGAGGAUCCACCAUUUUUUUAUGCGAUUCAAGUAG